rnacentral:rRNA from 1 species
GACGAACGCUGGCGGCGUGCUUAACACAUGCAAGUCGAGCGGUAAGGCCCUUUCGGGGGUACACGAGCGGCGAACGGGUGAGUAACACGUGGGUGACCUGCCCUCAGCUCUGGGAUAAGCCUGGGAAACCGGGUCUAAUACCGGAUAUGACUCCAUGACGCAUGUUGUGGGGUGGAAAGCCUUGUGCGGCUGAGGAUGGGCCCCGNGGCCUAUCAGCUUGUUGGUGGGGUGAUGGCCUACCAAGGCGACGACGGUAGCCGGCCUGAGAGGGCGACCGGCCACACUGGGACUGAGACACGGCCCAGACUCCUACGGGAGGCAGCAGUGGGGAAUCUUGCGCAAUGGGCGAAAGCCUGACGCAGCGACGCCGCGUGAGGGAUGACGGCCU